GACGAACGCUGGCGGCGUGCUUAACACAUGCAAGUCGAACGGACAGGCCCUGCUUUUGCGGGUUGCUCGAUAGCCGAACGCGGGAGUAACACGUGUGUAACCUGCCCUUGACUUUCUGAUAACUUCAGGAAACUGGGGCUCAUACCGGAUAGGAGCUCCUGCAGCAUGGUGGGGGUUGGAAAGUUUCGGCGGUUGGGGAUGGAAUCGAGGCUUAUGAGCUGGUUGGUGGGGUAGUUGCUUACCAAGGCUUUGACGGGUAGCCGGCCUGAGAGGGUGACCGGCGACAUUGGGACUGAGAUACGGCCCAGACUCCUACGGGAGGCAGCAGUGGGGAAUAUUGCAGAAUGGGCGGACGCCAGAUGCAGCAACGCCGCGUGCGGGAUGACGGCCUUCGGGUUGUAAACCUCUUUCGACUGUGCCGAAGCGUGAGUGACGGUAAUGGGUAAAGAAGCACCGGCUAACUACGUG
rnacentral:rRNA from 1 species